rnacentral:rRNA from 1 species
GCCCUAAACAUGCCAAGUCCGAGGCGAAGAUUAUAGCAAAUGUAAUCUUAGCGGCGGACGGGUGAGUAACGCGUGGGCAACCUACCUCUAACUGGGGGAUAACACAGGGAAACUUGUGCUAAUACCGCAUAACAUCAUGAAAUGACAUCAUUUUAUGAUCAAAGGAGCAAUCCGGUAAGAGAUGGGCCCGCGUCCAAUUAGCUAGUUGGUGGUGUAACGGACCACCAAGGCGACGAUUGGUAGCCGAACUGAGAGGUUGAUCGGCCACAUUGGGACUGAGACACGGCCCAGACUCCUACGGGAGGCAGCAGUGGGGAAUAUUGCGCAAUGGGGGAAACCCUGACGCAGCAACGCCGCGUGAAGGAUGAAGGUUUUCGGAUCGUAAACUUCUUUGAUGAGGGACGAAAUAAAUGACGGUACCUCAAAAACAAGCCACGGCUAACUACGUGCCAGCAGCCGCGGUAAUACGUAGGUGGCGAGCGUUGUCCGGAAUUACUGGGUGUAAAGGGCGUGUAGGCGGGAAUGUAAGUCAGAUGUGAAAUACCGAGGCUUAACUUCGGGGCUGCAUCUGAAACUAUGUUUCUUGAGUGUCGGAGAGGAAAGUGGAAUUCCCAGUGUAGCGGUGAAAUGCGUUAUAUUGGGAGGAACACCAGUGGCGAAGGCGACUUUCUGGACGAUAACUGACGCUGAGGUGCGAAAAGCGUGGGGAGCA